GUAGAUUGCUUAUAUUCACUUUUUGUUGCACUAUUAUUUUUUCAUGUGAAUAAAUAUAAUCCUCAUUUAGUCAACUAAUCGCUAUAUUAAGUGCACAAAUCAAACACAAUACAGAUGCCAACAUGAACUGCGACAGCGCGUACUAAGGAGUCUUCAGCGCUUCAUUUACAAAAAGCAAUCAAAUGAAAACUCACUAUGGACACGACUUUCGCUAUCAACGUUUGAAAAUAUUAUAUUUACUCUUUAAUUUACGUCAAAAUCGAUUUCUUUCAAUGUCUUAUGACAAUAUGUAAAUCAAUAACACUUUUCCACCAUUUUA